rnacentral:rRNA from 1 species
AGAGUUUGAUCCUGGCUCAGGAUGAACGCUGGCGGCGUGCCUAACACAUGCAAGUCGAGCGAUUCUCUUCGGAGAAGAGCGGCGGACGGGUGAGUAACGCGUGGGUAACCUGCCCUGUACACACGGAUAACAUACCGAAAGGUAUGCUAAUACGGGAUAACAUAAGAAAUUCGCAUGUUUUUCUUAUCAAAGCUCCGGCGGUACAGGAUGGACCCGCGUCUGAUUAGCUAGUUGGUGAGGUAAUGGCUCACCAAGGCGACGAUCAGUAGCCGACCUGAGAGGGUGAUCGGCCACAUUGGAACUGAGACACGGUCCAAACUCCUACGGGAGGCAGCAGUGGGGAAUAUUGCACAAUGGGCGAAAGCCUGAUGCAGCAACGCCGCGUGAGCGAUGAAGGCCUUCGGGUCGUAAAGCUCUGUCCUCAAGGAAGAUAAUGACGGUACUUGAGGAGGAAGCCCCGGCUAACUACGUGCCAGCAGCCGCGGUAAUACGUAGGGGGCUAGCGUUAUCCGGAUUUACUGGGCGUAAAGGGUGCGUAGGCGGUCUUUUAAGUCAGGAGUGAAAGGCUACGGCUCAACCGUAGUAAGCUCUUGAAACUGGAGGACUUGAGUGCAGGAGAGGAGAGUGGAAUUCCUAGUGUAGCGGUGAAAUGCGUAGAUAUUAGGAGGAACACCAGUAGCGAAGGCGGCUCUCUGGACUGUAACUGACGCUGAGGCACGAAAGCGUGGGGAGCAAACAGGAUUAGAUACCCUGGUAGUCCACGCCGUAAAC